CCUACGGGAGGCAGCAGUGAGGAAUAUUGGUCAAUGGACGAGAGUCUGAACCAGCCAAGUAGCGUGCAGGAUGACUGCCCUAUGGGUUGUAAACUUCUUUUAUAUGGGAAUAAAAUGUUCCACGUGUGGGGUUUUGUAUGUACCAUAUGAAUAAGGACCGGCUAACUCCGUGCCAGCAGCCGCGGUAAUACGGAGGAUCCGGGCGUUAUCCGGAUUUAUUGGGUUUAAAGGGAGCGUAGGUGGAUUGUUAAGUGUGUUGUGAAAGUGUGCGGCUCAACCGUAGAAUUGCAGUUGAAACUGGCAGGCUUGAGUACAGGAGAGGUGGGCGGAAUUCGUGGUGUAGCGGUGAAAUGCUUAGAUAUCACGAAGAACUCCGAUUGCGAAGGCAGCUCACGGGACUGCAACUGACACUGAGGCUCGAAAGUGUGGGUAUCGAACAGGAUUAGAUACCCUAGUAGUC
rnacentral:rRNA from 1 species